rnacentral:misc_RNA from 1 species
UUAUUAUUAUUAUUAUUAUUAUUCGGUGUUCAUAAGUCGUAUUCCCAUCGCCAGUAACUUGUUCUAAUUUUAUGUUCACCUCCAUUUACUUAGACGCAGUUGACUGAAUUUAGAUCCUACGAAGGCCAGGAUAUGUACACUGGCGAGAAAAUUGUUCCAAUCAAGGUUCUUCUCGGCUAUGAGUCUGAUGUACUAUUGUUUUCUAUCCUUUUUUUAAUCUAUUUGAAAAUUUGGUUAAUCACACGUUGGUGUGUGCUUCUUCUC